CUGCAGUGAUGAGUUUUGAAUGGAAUGAUCUGGUAUUGCCUCCCUCUGGGGAACAGCUCUGACCAGGGAAUGACCUCAGAUUAAUCUUCUCUCUGAGCAG
ensembl:snoRNA Z30 small nucleolar RNA